UUACGGGAGGCAGCAGCAAGGAAUAUUGCGCAAUGGGCGAAAGCCUGACGCAGCGACGCCGCGUGGGGGAUGAAAGCCUUCGGGUUGUAAACCCCUUUUCACUGGGAAGAGGAAGGACGGUACCAGUGGAAUAAGCCUCGGCUAACUACGUGCCAGCAGCCGCGGUAAUACGUAGGAGGCGAGCGUUAUCCGGAAUUAUUGGGCGUAAAGAGCGCGCGGGCGGCCGGGUAAGUCAGAUGUGAAAUCUCCUGGCUUAACUAGGAGGCGACAUUUGAGACUGCCUGGCUUGAGGACAGCAGAGGGAGAUGGAAUUCCCGGUGUAGUAGUGAAAUACGUAGAUAUCGGGAGGAACACCUGUGGCGAAGGCGGUCUUCUGGGCUGUUUCUGACGCUGAGGCGCGAAAGCGUGGGGAGCAAACAGGAUUAGAUACCCCGGUAGC
rnacentral:rRNA from 1 species